UACGAAGGGGGCUAGCGUUGUUCGGAUUUACUGGGCGUAAAGCGCACGUAGGCGGAUCGUUAAGUCGGGGGUGAAAUCCUGGAGCUCAACUCCAGAACUGCCUUCGAUACUGGCGAUCUAGAGUCCGGAAGAGGUGAGUGGAACUCCGAGUGUAGAGGUGAAAUUCGUAGAUAUUCGGAAGAACACCAGUGGCGAAGGCGGCUCACUGGCCCGGUACUGACGCUGAGAUACGAAAGCGUGGGGAGCAAACAGG
rnacentral:rRNA from 1 species